rnacentral:rRNA from 1 species
CUGCCAGACUCCUACGGGAGGCAGCAGUGAGGAAUAUUGGUCAAUGGGCGAGAGCCUGAACCAGCCAAGUCGCGUGAGGGAUGACUGCCCUAUGGGUUGUAAACCUCUUUUGUAUGGGGGGAAUAAGCUUUACGAGUAGAGUGAUGACAGUACCAUACGAAUAAGCAUCGGCUAACUCCGUGCCAGCAGCCGCGGUAAUACGUAGGUGGCAAGCGUUGUCCGGAUUUACUGGGUGUAAAGGGCGUGUAGCCGGGUUGACAAGUCAGAUGUGAAAUCCUGCGGCUUAACCGCAGAACUGCAUUUGAAACUGUUGAUCUUGAGUACUGGAGAGGCAGACGGAAUUCCUAGUGUAGCGGUGAAAUGCGUAGAUAUUAGGAGGAACACCAGUGGCGAAGGCGGUCUGCUGGACAGCAACUGACGGUGAGGCGCGAAAGCGUGGGGAGCAAACAGGAUUAGAUACCCCUGUA